rnacentral:misc_RNA from 1 species
CUCGCCUCUGAAGCUAAGAAACACAUCAUACUUUCGAUUACGAGAUGCAGAAGAAGAUUCCAUAAUAUGAAAUCAGGAAAGGCUCAAUCCUCUCCUUGAAGAAUAGAACCUUGAUUUACGGUGAAAAGGUAGGAAAGACAACAAAUUUUUUGCUUCGAUCAGCUAAUAGUGCAAACAGGGAAGAGAAUAAGAGCAUUCGUCAAUCCAAUUCGUGGGCAGUAGCGGCCUCUAGCAUCUCUAGUGAAAUCUUAUUACCUGAGAGAGCACUUCCGAUUUUCUGUAAGACUAUGCUUGUGAAAGAAUUUUCAAAUGCAA